CCUACGGGAUGCAGCAGUGGGGAAUAUUGGACAAUGGGCGAAAGCCUGAUCCAGCAAUGCCGCGUGUGCGAAGAAGAUCUUCGGAUUGUAAAGCACUUUCGACGGGGGCGAUGAUGACGGUACCCGUAGAAGAAGCCCCGGCUAACUUCGUGCCAGCAGCCGCGGUAAUACGAAGGGGGCUAGCGUUGCUCGGAAUGACUGGGCGUAAAGGGCGCGUAGGCGGUUUAUGCAGUCAGAUGUGAAAUCCCCGGGCUUAACCUGGGAACUGCAUUUGAGACGCAUAGACUAGAGGUCGAGAGAGGGUUGUGGAAUUCCCAGUGUAGAGGUGAAAUUCGCAGAUAUUGGGAAGAACACCGGUGGCGAAGGCGGCAACCUGGCUCGAUACUGACGCCGAGGCGCGAAAGCGUGGGGAGCGAACAGGAUUAGAUACCCGUGUAGU
rnacentral:rRNA from 1 species